UGGGGAAUAUUGGACAAUGGGCGAAAGCCUGAUCCAGCCAUGCCGCGUGUGUGAAGAAGGUCUUCGGAUUGUAAAGCACUUUAAGUUGGGAGGAAGGGCAUUAACCUAAUACGUUAGUGUUUUGACGUUACCGACAGAAUAAGCACCGGCUAACUCUGUGCCAGCAGCCGCGGUAAUACAGAGGGUGCAAGCGUUAAUCGGAAUUACUGGGCGUAAAGCGCGCGUAGGUGGUUUGUUAAGUGGGAUGUGAAAUCCCCGGGCUCAACCUGGGAACUGCAUUCAAAACUGACUGACUAGAGUAUGGUAGAGGGUGGGGGAAUUUCCUGUGUAGCGGUGAAAUGCGUAGAUAUAGGAAGGAACACCAGUGGCGAAGGCGACCACCUGGACUAAUACUGACACUGAGGUGCGAAAGCGUGGGAGCAAACA
rnacentral:rRNA from 1 species